rnacentral:tRNA from 1 species
AGAAGGUUAGCCAAGUCGGUUAAGGCUGGGAUCUCUGAAACCACUGAUCGUGGUUCGAACCCACUACCUUCUG